rnacentral:rRNA from 1 species
UACGAGGGGGGCAAGCGUUGUUCGGAAUUAUUGGGCGUAAAGGGCGCGUAGGCGGUGCGGUAAGUCACCUGUGAAACCUCUAGGCUUAACCUAGAGCCUGCAGGCGAAACGUGCCGUGCUUGAGGGUGGGAGAGGUGCGUGGGAAUUCCCGGUGUAGCGGUGAAAUGCGUAGAUAUCAGGAGGAACACCGGUGGUGUAAACGGCUUUCUGGACCAUAACUGACGCUGAGGCACGAAAGCGUGGGUAGCAAACAGG